rnacentral:miRNA from 1 species
UAAUGCCCCUAAAAAUCCCUAU